rnacentral:rRNA from 1 species
GAUGAACGCUGGCGGCGUGCCUAAUACAUGCAAGUCGAGCGAACAGACGAGGAGCUUGCUCCUCUGACGUUAGCGGCGGACGGGUGAGUAACACGUGGAUAACCUACCUAUAAGACUGGGAUAACUUCGGGAAACCGGAGCUAAUACCGGAUAAUAUAUUGAACCGCAUGGUUCAAUAGUGAAAGACGGUUUUGCUGUCACUUAUAGAUGGAUCCGCGCCGCAUUAGCUAGUUGGUAAGGUAACGGCUUACCAAGGCAACGAGGCGUAGCCGACCUGAGAGAGUGAUCGGCCACACGGGAACUGAGACACGGUCAAGACUCCUACGGGAGGCAGCAGUAGGGAAUCUUACGCAAUGGGCGAAAGCCUGACGGAGCAACGCCGCGUGAGUGAUGAAGGUCUUCGGAUCGUAAAACUCUGUUAUUAGGGAAGAACAAAUGUGUAAGUAACUAUGCACGUCUUGACGGUACCUAAUCAGAAAGCCACGGCUAACUACGUG